rnacentral:rRNA from 1 species
GAUGAACGCUGGCGGCGUGCCUAAUACAUGCAAGUCGAGCGAACGGACGAGAAGCUUGCUUCUCUGAUGUUAGCGGCGGACGGGUGAGUAACACGUGGAUAACCUACCUAUAAGACUGGGAUAACUUCGGGAAACCGGAGCUAAUACCGGAUAAUAUUUUGAACCGCAUGGUUCAAAAGUGAAAGACGGUCUUGCUGUCACUUAUAGAUGGAUCCGCGCUUCAUUAGCUAGUUGGUAAGGUAACGGCUUACCAAGGCAACGAUGCAUAGCCGACCUGAGAGGGUGACCGGCCACAGUGGAACAGAGACACGGUCCAGACUCCUACGGGAGGCAGCAGUAGGGAAUCUUCCGAAAUGGGCGAAAGCCUGACGGAGCAACGCCGCGUGAGUGAUGAAGGUCUUCGGAUCGUAAAACUCUGUUAUUAGGGAAGAACAUAUGUGUAAGUAACUGUGCACAUAUUGACGGUACCUAAUCAGAAAGCCACGGCUAACUACGUG